AGGGCGUUUGGUGGAUGCCUUGGUGCCAGGAGGCGAUGAAGGACGUGGUACGCUGCGAAAAGCUUCGGGGAGCCGCGAACGGGCGUUGAUCCGAAGAUCUCCGAAUGGGGCAACCCCAUCCAUCAGGAUGAUCCCGGCCUGAAUUCAUAGGGCCGGGAGGCGAACCCGGGGAACUGAAACAUCUCAGUACCCGGAGGAAAGGACAUCAACCGAGACUCCGCGAGUAGUGGCGAGCGAAAGCGGACGAGGCCAGUGGUUUGUGCGACCGAACCGGAACGGCAUGCGAAAGGCCGGCCACAGCGGGUGAUAGCCCCGUACGGGUAGGGGUCGUGCGGAUCCUUGAGUAAGGCGGGACACGAGCAAUCCUGUCUGAAGACGGGGGGACCACCCUCCAAGCCUAAGUACUCCCUGGCAACCGAUAGUGGACCAGUACCGUGAGGGAAAGGUGAAAAGCACCCCGAUGAGGGGAGUGAAAGAGACCUGAAACCGAACGCCUACAAGCAGUCGGAGCCGGCUUCGGCCGGUGACGGCGUACCUUUUGUAUAAUGGGUCAGCGACUUGAUCUGUACGGCAAGCUUAAGCCGCUAGGCGCAGGCGCAGCGAAAGCGAGUCCGAAAGGGGCGUCCUAGUCGUACGGAUCAGACCCGAAACCUGGUGAUCUAGCCAUGGGCAGGUUGAAGGCGUGGUAACGCGCGCUGGAGGACCGAACCCACUUCCGUUGAAAAGGCAGGGGAUGACCUGUGGCUAGGGGUGAAAGGCCAAUCAAACCGGGAAAUAGCUGGUUCUCCGCGAAAGCUAUUUAGGUAGCGCGUCGCGUGAACGCCGCCGGGGGUAGAGCACCGGAUGGGCUAGGGGGGUCCAAAGCCUUACCAAACCCAACCGAACUCCGAAUACCGGCGAGUGCUGCGCGGCAGACAGACGGCGGGUGCUAAGGUCCGUCGUCGAGAGGGGAAGAGCCCAGACCGACAGCUAAGGUCCCCAAGUCGUGGCUAAGUGGGAAAGGAAGUGGGAAGGCCAUAACAACCAGGAGGUUGGCUUAGAAGCAGCCAUCCUUUAAAGAAAGCGUAAUAGCUCACUGGUCUAGACAAGCCGUCCUGCGCCGAAAAUGUAACGGGGCUGAAGCCACGCACCGAAGCUUCGGAUUCAGGUAUCAGAAGUCAGGGAUCAGGUAUCAGCAUCAGAAGACAGGGAUCAGGGAUCAGGCAUCAGAGGCACGCGCGGCUUCUGAUCCCUGAUACCUGAUGCCUGUCAUCUGAUCCCUGAUCCCUGUCUUCUGAUACCUGGAUGGUAGCGGAGCGUUCCGUAGGCCUGCGAAGGGAUACCCGUGAGGGGUCCUGGAGGCAUCGGAAGUGCGAAUGCUGACAUGAGUAGCGCCAAGGAGUGUGGGAAACACUCCCGCCGCAAGUCCAAGGGUUCCUGCGCAAGGUUAAUCCGCGCAGGGUUAGUCGGUCCCUAAGGCGAGGCCGAGAGGCGUAGUCGAUGGGAAGCAGGUUAAUAUUCCUGCACCUGCCGGUGGUGACGAAUCCUGCAAGUUGUCUUUCCGAGAGGGCCGCAAGGCGCGGGAGGGCAGCGAAGGGGUUCCGGGAAACAGCCCCGGCGUAUAGACCGUACCCGAAACCGACACAGGUGGACUGGUAGAGCAUACCGAGGCGUUUGAGAGAACGGUGUCGAAGGAACUAGGCAAAAUGCCCUCGUAACUUCGGGAGAAGAGGGCCUCGGUCCUGGGCAACCAGGGUCGAGGGGCACAGAAGAGGGGGUAGCGACUGUUUACUAAAAACACAGGGCUCUGCGAAGCCGCGAGGCGACGUAUAGGGUCUGACGCCUGCCCGGUGCCGGAAGGUUAAGAGGAGAGGUGCAAGCCUUGAAUCGAAGCCCCGGUAAACGGCGGCCGUAACUAUAACGGUCCUAAGGUAGCGAAAUUCCUUGUCGGGUAAGUUCCGACCUGCACGAAUGGCGUAACGACUUCCCCGCUGUCUCCGACACCGGCUCAGCGAAAUUGAAUUCCCCGUGAAGAUGCGGGGUACCCGCGGUCAGACGGAAAGACCCCGUGCACCUUUACUACAGCUUUGCAGUGGCGUUAGGGAAUGGAUGUGUAGGAUAGGCGGGAGGCGAUGAAGCCCGGGCGCCAGCCUGGGUGGAGCCAGCCUUGAAAUACCGCCCUUUUGUUUCCUGACGUCUAACCGCGGCCGCGACACGGUCCGGGACCCUGCAUGGCGGGUAGUUUGACUGGGGCGGUCGCCUCCCAAAGAGUAACGGAGGCGCGCGAUGGUGGGCUCAGGCCGGUCGGAAAUCGGCUGUGGAGUGCAAUGGCAUAAGCCCGCCUGACUGCGAGGCCGACAAGCCGAGCAGAGACGAAAGUCGGUCAUAGUGAUCCGGUGGUUCCGCGUGGAAGGGCCAUCGCUCAACGGAUAAAAGGUACGCCGGGGAUAACAGGCUGAUCUCCCCCAAGAGUCCACAUCGACGGGGAGGUUUGGCACCUCGAUGUCGGCUCAUCGCAUCCUGGGGCUGGAGCAGGUCCCAAGGGUAUGGCUGUUCGCCAUUUAAAGCGGUACGUGAGCUGGGUUUAGAACGUCGUGAGACAGUUCGGUCCCUAUCUGCCGUGGGUGUUGGAGACUUGAGAGGCGCUGUCCCUAGUACGAGAGGACCGGGAUGGACGCACCUCUGGUGUACCGGUUGUGGCGCCAGCCGCACCGCCGGGUAGCUAUGUGCGGACGGGAUAAACGCUGAACGCAUCUAAGCGUGAAACCCUCCUCAAAACCAGGUCUCCCCGAGAGCCGUGGAAGACGACCACGUCGAUAGGCCGCCGGUGCACGCAUGGCGACAUGCUCAGCCAAGCGGUCCUAAUCGCUCGAUCGAGCUUGAU
rnacentral:rRNA from 1 species